rnacentral:rRNA from 1 species
GAUGAACGCUGGCGGCGUGCCUAAUACAUGCAAGUCGAGCGAACAGACGAGGAGCUUGCUCCUCUGACGUUAGCGGCGGACGGGUGAGUAACACGUGGAUAACCUACCUAUAAGACUGGGAUAACUUCGGGAAACCGGAGCUAAUACCGGAUAAUAUAUUGAACCGCAUGGUUCAAUAGUGAAAGACGGUUUUGCUGUCACUUAUAGAUGGAUCCGCUCCGCAUUAGCUAGUUGGUAAGGUAACGGCUUACCAAGGCAACGAUGUGUAGCCGGCCUGAGAGGGUGAUCAGCCACACUGGAACUGAGACACGGCCCAGACUCCUACGGGAGGCAGCAGUAGGGAAUCUUGCGCAAUGGGCGAAAGCCUGACGGAGCAACGCCGCGUGAGUGAUGAAGGUCUUCGGAUCGUAAAACUCUGUUAUUAGGGAAGAACAAAUGUGUAAGUAACUAUGCACGUCUUGACGGUACCUAAACAGAAAGCCACGGCUAACUACGUG